rnacentral:pre_miRNA from 1 species
ACAACAUCCGGACCGCCGGUCUACCGAGCAAUAUCACCCGCUCGGUGGAAGAUCUUUCCUUUCGUCGU